rnacentral:lncRNA from 1 species
AGUAUGAUCAGCUUGUCGAAAGAAUGAAUCAAUGACACUCUGUCUUCGUGGAGAGCAGCCUGGGUGUGGAAUCAGGCACCCCCGGGUUCAAAGCCAUCACUGUGAUUGAAGAACAGAAGUCAUUCGUGAAGGACACAGCACACACAGCCCAGAGAGCUCGCAGGUUAAAACUGCACAUGGAGCAAUGUCUGCCAGCCAUUCAGGGUACUUCAAAAUAGGUCAGAAUACGUUUCCAGAAAGUGACACCUUCUUUUUGGGUUUGCGUAUAAUAAUAAAUCUAGG